AUGAACGCUGGCGGCGUGCCUAAUACAUGCAAGUCGAGCGAACUGACGAGGAGCUUGCUCCUCUGACGUUAGCGGCGGACGGGUGAGUAACACGUGGAUAACCUACCUAUAAGACUGGGAUAACUUCGGGAAACCGGAGCUAAUACCGGAUAAUAUAUUGAACCGCAUGGUUCAAUAGUGAAAGACGGUUUUGCUGUCACUUAUAGAUGGAUCCGCGCCGCAUUAGCUAGUUGGUAAGGUAACGGCUUACCAAGGCAACGAUGCGUAGCCGACCUGAGAGGGUGAUCGGCCACACUGGAACUGAGACACGGUCCAGACUCCUACGGGAGGCAGCAGUAGGGAAUCUUCCGCAAUGGGCGAAAGCUUGACGGAGCAACGCCGCGUGAGUGAUGAAGGUCUUCGGAUCGUAAAACUCUGUUAUUAGGGAAGAACAAAUGUGUAAGUAACUAUGCACGUCUUGACGGUACCUAAUCAGAAAGCCACGGCUAACUACGUG
rnacentral:rRNA from 1 species